GCGGUCAUGGCGGAAUUGGCAGACGCGCAGGAUUUAGGUUCCUGUGCCUUAAGGCGUAUGGGUUCAAGUCCCACUGACCGCA
rnacentral:tRNA from 1 species